AAGGUUUACCGCUAUAGGAUGGGGAUGCGUCUGAUUAGGUUGUUGGCGGGGUAACGGCCCACCAAGCCCACGAUCAGUAGGGGUUCUGAGAGGAAGGUCCCCCACAUUGGAACUGAGACACGGUCCAAACUCCUACGGGAGGCAGCAGUGAGGAAUAUUGGUCAAUGGACGGAAGUCUGAACCAGCCAAGUAGCGUGCAGGAUGACGGCCCUAUGGGUUGUAAACUGCUUUUAUAUAGGGAUAAAGUCGGGGACGUGUCCCCGUUUGUAGGUACUAUAUGAAUAAGGACCGGCUAAUUCCGUGCCAGCAGCCGCGGUAAUACGGAAGGUCCGGGCGUUAUCCGGAUUUAUUGGGUUUAAAGGGAGCGCAGGCUGAUGAUUAAGCGUGACGUGAAAUGUAGCCGCUCAACGGCUGAACUGCGUCGCGAACUGGUUAUCUUGAGUGAGUUCGAUGUUGGCGGAAUUCGUGGUGUAGCGGUGAAAUGCUUAGAUAUCACGAAGAACUCCGAUUGCGAAGGCAGCCAACAAGGCCUUUACUGACGCUAAAGCUCGAAGGUGCGGGUAUCGAACAGGAUUAGAUA
rnacentral:rRNA from 1 species